rnacentral:rRNA from 1 species
GACGAACGCUGGCGGCGUGCUUAACACAUGCAAGUCGAACGAUGAACCGGGUGCUUGCACUUGGGGGUUAGUGGCGAACGGGUGAGUAACACGUGAGUAACCUGCCCUGGACCCUGGGAUAACCCCGAGAAAUCGGAGCUAAUACCGGAUAGGACCUUUCCUCGCAUGAGGUUUGGUGGAAAGUUUUUCGGUCUGGGAUGGACUCGCGGCCUAUCAGCUUGUUGGUGAGGUAAUGGCUCACCAAGGCGUCGACGGGUAGCCGGCCUGAGAGGGUGACCGGCCACACUGGGACUGAGACACGGCCCAGACUCCUACGGGAGGCAGCAGUGGGGAAUAUUGCACAAUGGGCGCAAGCCUGAUGCAGCAACGCCGCGUGCGGGAUGACGGCCUUCGGGUUGUAAACCGCUUUUAGUAGGGAAGAAGGGCUUCGGCUUGACGGUACCUGCAGAAAAAGGACCGGCUAACUACGUGCCAGCAGCCGCAGUAACAC